rnacentral:rRNA from 1 species
CCUACGGGUGGCUGCAGUGGGGAAUAUUGCACAAUGGGGGAAACCCUGAUGCAGCGACGCCGCGUGAGUGAAGAAGUAUUUCGGUAUGUAAAGCUCUAUCAGCAGGGAAGAAAUAGCGACCUUUGGGUCGCCAGACGGUACCUGAUUAAGAAGCCCUGGCGAACUACGUGCCAGCAGCCGGGGUAAUACGUAGGGGGCAAGCUUUAUCCGGAUUUACUGGGUGUAAAGGGAGCGUAGACGGCAGCGAAAGUCUGAAGUGAAAUGCCGGGGCUUAACCCCGGAACUGCUUUGGAAACUGUGCAGCUAGAGGGCAGGAGAGGUAAGUGGAAUUCCUAGUGUAGCGGUGAAAUGCGUAGAGAUUAGGAGGAACACCAGUGGCGAAGGCGGCUUACUGGACUGUAACUGACGUUGAGGCUCGAAAGCGUGGGGAGCAAACAGGAUUAGAUACCCGGGUAGUC